rnacentral:rRNA from 1 species
CAGUGAUUCCCUUAGUAACGGCGAGCGAACAGGGAAGAGCCCAGCGCCGAACCGCCGAUCGUACAGGUCGCGCGGAAUGUGGCGUUACGGAGCGAGCCUUCCCCCGUGGACGGCGGCGACAAGUCUCCCUGACAGGAGCUCCUGCCCAGAGCGGGUGCGAGGCCCAUAGUCGCCGUGCGUCACUCGGGUGGCGAACUCCGAAGAGUCGGGCUGCUUGAGAGUGCAGUCCUAAGCGGGAGGUAAACUCCUCCUAAGGCUAAAUACGGCCGCGAGACCGAUAGCGAACAAGUACCGUGAGGGAAAGUUGCAAAGAACUUUGAAGAGAGAGUUCAAGAGUACGUGAAACUGCUCGGAAGGAAACGGGUGGAUCUUCGAAGUCCGAGCGGAGCGGGAUUCAGUGGCGGGCGGCGAGGGGUGUUUGAACCUCGUACUCCCUCGCGGAGACGAGGGGCGGGCACCGUUCUCCCGUCAGCCGCGCACUUCUCGCUCCCGGUGGACGCCGCAGCCGGUCUGGCGUCGGCAGUGAGGACUGGCCGGGCGAUGGCGUGGGCGUCGAUCUCGCAUCGGCGUCCCGAUUCUGUACCGGUCGUGUUCCCGGUGCGACGCCGGUCCGAGGGAAAGAGUCCGGACUAGUUCCGGACGUGCCGCGGUCUCGCCAUGAGAAUGGCAGAGCGGGAGAGUGGUCCGGUCCUACCGGCCGUGUCGCCCACCACGAGCGUGAGCGACCGGAAAAAGGUGAGCCGUAAGAUCGCGACCUAGCCCGCUAAGGCGAACCGAGGGCUUGCGGCGAGUAGGUCGGUAUUCCACCCGACCCGUCUUGAAACACGGACCAAGGAGUCUAACUUGUGCGCGAGUCAGUGGGACUCGAUUAAGCCCACGGGCGCAAUGAGAGUGAGUUUUUGAGUCGUGAUCCCGCGCUUCGGCGUGGGCGCAGCGACGGCCCGACUAAAAAGUUGUCCAGCGAUGCUGGCGCCGGUCGGAGCCCGAGCGUACAGGUUGGUACCCGAAAGAUGGUGAACUAUGCCCGGGCAGGUUGAAGCUAGAGGAAACUCUGGUGGAGGACCGCAGCGGUCUGACGUGCAAAUCGAU